GUGGGGAAUAUUGCGCAAUGGGGGCAACCCUGACGCAGCAAUACCGCGUGAGUGAAGAAGGUUUUCGGAUCGUAAAGCUCUGUUAUUGGGGAAGAAAAAAGACGGUACCCAAGAAGAAAGUCCCGGCUAACUACGUGCCAGCAGCCGCGGUAAUACGUAGGGGACAAGCGUUGUCCGGAUUUACUGGGCGUAAAGGGCACGCAGGCGGUUUUUUAAGUCAGAUGUGAAAGGUACCGGCUCAACCGGUGACAUGCAUUUGAAACUGAAAGACUUGAGUAUUGGAGAGUCAAGUGGAAUUCCUAGUGUAGCGGUGAAAUGCGUAGAUAUUAGGAGGAACACCGGUGGCGAAGGCGGCUUGCUGGACAAAUACUGACGCUGAGGUGCGAAAGCGUGGGGAGCAAACAGGAUUAGAAACCCCUGUAGUCC
rnacentral:rRNA from 1 species